AAAAAUUUUUAAAUAGCUGCAAUUUUUGUACUAAGGUAGCAUAAUCAUUUGUUUUUUAAUUUUAAACUAGAAUGAAAGGUAAAACAAAUUAUUUCUUUAUUAUUUAUUUUUUUAUAACUUAUAUUAAAUAUAAAAAUAUAUUUUUUUAAAAAAAAGACGACAAGACCCUAUUGAACUUUACUUUAGUUUAGCUGGGGAAGCUAAAUAACAAAUAUUUUAUUAAAAUUUUAUAAAUGACCCAAAAUAUUUGAAUAAAUAAUCAAGUUACCAUAGGGAUAACAGCGCAAUAAAUUUUUAAAGUUCUUAUUUUAAAAUUUGCUUACGACCUCGAUGUUGAAUUAAAAAUCUUUUCUAAGCAAAAAUAUUAAAAGUAGGUC
rnacentral:rRNA from 1 species